CCUACGGGAGGCAGCAGUGGGGAAUAUUGGACAAUGGGGGGAACCCUGAUCCAGCCAUGCCGCGUGUGUGAAGAAGGCCCUCGGGUUGUAAAGCACUUUCAGCGAGGAAGAACGCCUAGCGGUUAAUACCCGCUAGGAAAGACAUCACUCGCAGAAGAAGCACCGGCUAACUCCGUGCCAGCAGCCGCGGUAAUACGGAGGGUGCAAGCGUUAAUCGGAAUUACUGGGCGUAAAGCGCGCAUAGGUGGCUUGAUAAGCCGGUUGUGAAAGCCCCGGGCUCAACCUGGGAACGGCAUCCGGAACUGUCAAGCUAGAGUGCAGGAGAGGAAGGUAGAAUUCCCGGUGUAGCGGUGAAAUGCGUAGAGAUCGGGAGGAAUACCAGUGGCGAAGGCGGCCUUCUGGACUGACACUGACACUGAGGUGCGAAAGCGUAGGUAGCAAACAGGAUUAGAUACCCUGGUAGUCCACGCCGUAAACGAUGUCGACCAGCCGUUGGGUGCCUAGCGCACUUUGUGGCGAAGUUAACGCGAUAAGUCGACCGCCUGGGGAGUACGGCCGCAAGGUUAAAACUCAAAUGAAUUGACGGA
rnacentral:rRNA from 1 species